rnacentral:rRNA from 1 species
CGUUGGUGAACCAGCGGAGGGAUCAUUACC